rnacentral:rRNA from 1 species
AGUGAACGCUGGCGGUAGGCCUAACACAUGCAAGUCGAACGGCAGCACAGUAAGAGCUUGCUCUUACGGGUGGCGAGUGGCGGACGGGUGAGGAAUACAUCGGAAUCUACUUUUUCGUGGGGGAUAACGUAGGGAAACUUACGCUAAUACCGCAUACGACCUACGGGUGAAAGCAGGGGAUCUUCGGACCUUGCGCGAUUGAAUGAGCCGAUGUCGGAUUAGCUAGUUGGCGGGGUAAAGGCCCACCAAGGCGACGAUCCGUAGCUGGUCUGAGAGGAUGAUCAGCGACACUGGAACUGAGACACGGUCCAGACUCCUACGGGAGGCAGCAGUGGGGAAUAUUGGACAAUAGGCGCAAGCAUGAUCCAGCCAUACCGCGUGGGUGAAGAAGGCCUUCGGGUUGUAAAGCCCUUUUGUUGGGAAAGAAAAGCAGCAGGUUAAUACCCCGCUGUUCUGACGGUACCCAAAGAAUAAGCACCGGCUAACUUCGUG